CAGUCGCCACGGGAAUACGUAGGUGGCAAGCGUUGUCCGGAAUUAUUGGGCGUAAAGGGCUCGCAGGCGGUUUCUUAAGCCUGAUGUGAAAGCCCCCGGCUCAACCGGGGAGGGUCAUUGGAAACUGGGAAACUUGAGUGCAGAAGAGGAGAGUGGAAUUCCACGUGUAGCGGUGAAAUGCGUAGAGAUGUGGAGGAACACCAGUGGCGAAGGCGACUCUCUGGUCUGUAACUGACGCUGAGGAGCGAAAGCGUGGGGAGCGAACAGGAUUAGAUACCCGCGUAGUCCCUGUCUCUUAUAC
rnacentral:rRNA from 1 species